rnacentral:rRNA from 1 species
AACGAACGCUGGCGGCAGGCCUAACACAUGCAAGUCGGACGUGAAGCCACCUUCGGGUGGUGGAAAGUGGCAGACGGGUGAGUAACGCGUGGGAACGUGCCUUUCGGUUCGGGAUAACCCAGGGAAACUUGGGCUAAUACCGGAUACGCCCUCCGGGGGAAAGAUUCAUUGCCGAAAGAUCGGCCCGCGUCGGAUUAGCUAGUUGGUGGGGUAAAAGCCUACCAAGGCGACGAUCCGUAGCUGGUCUGAGAGGAUGACCAGCCACACUGGGACUGAGACACGGCCCAGACUCCUACGGGAGGCAGCAGUGGGGAAUAUUGGACAAUGGGCGCAAGCCUGAUCCAGCCAUGCCGCGUGGGUGAAGAAGGCCCUAGGGUUGUAAACCCCUUUCAGCGGGGAAGAUAAUGACGGUACCCGCAGAAGAAGCCCCGGCUAACUCCGUGCCAGCAGCCGCCGUAACAC